rnacentral:rRNA from 1 species
GUCCACGCCGUAAACGAUGAUUACUAGGUGUGGGGACUGACCCCUUCCGUGCCGCAGUUAACACAAUAAGUAAUCCACCUGGGGAGUACGGUCGCAAGACUGAAACUCAAAGGAAUUGACGGGGCCCGCACAAGCAGUGGAGUAUGUGGAUUAAUUCGAAGCAACGCGAAGAACCUUACCAGGUCUUGACAUCGAUCGAAUCCGAAAGAGAUUUUUGGAGUGCCCUUCGGGGAACGUGAAGACAGGUGGUGCAUGGUUGUCGU